UAUGGGUAGGGCUUCCCGCCCUAGGGUUGGGGUUCCUAAGGGUACGGCACUUGGAGCUAGGGGUAGGUUUCUAUGGUUAGGGCACUUGGAGCUAGGGUUAGCGUUC